rnacentral:tRNA from 1 species
GUCCCUGUCGUCUAGCGGUUAGGACACUACCCUUUCACGGUAGGAACGAGAUUUCGAUCAUCUCCAGGGACG